AGAGCACUGACUGGCUUUUUCUACCGAGACCAGCAGACAACAUGGUUGAGAACAAGCUGGCCCAGGAAUACAGAAGUUCGAGUUGUUAAGCCAGGGAAACCAGCACCUGAACAAGCAUGGAAUUAUAAUGAUUUGUCAAAAAACCACCCAGCCCUCUGGAAAGGCCUGUGACUCCACCUGACUGUUUGAUGUCAUUAGCACAGUCUAAGCAGAAACACUACAGAAAUCUUGUACUUUGACUUCAGGUGUCAAGAUCAAAAAAGAAAUGGAUUGGCACAUUCAGGCACGAACAGCCCUCCCUCCAGUGAACAGAGACAGCCAAACCUGACGGACCUCCCUCCUGAGUCAUCAUUCAACAGCUCCUGGGCCCACAGCCCACCGCUCUCCUCCUUGUCUCACAGAUCUGCACUGGAACCCUGGAUCCGCCACAUCCUGGCUGUGUGGCUUUGGGUAGCUCACUUAACCUCUCUCAGUCUCCAUUUCUUCCUAUGUAAAAGCAGACCAUGAAAAUUCCUACUUCCUAAAGGCUGUUGUGGGGAUAAAAGUAUGGCAAAGGCUUACCUCAGUGUCUAGCACGUGGAAAGCACCAAUAAAUGACAGGGAACUGAUGUCCACUAUCACCGCCACACAUACGUGACCCAUUCUGCUUUUCUACUUCACACUCCGGCCAGGAAACCUGCGGUCCACAAGACUUGAAACUUGAGUGACUUGUGGACCACACCAUGGGCCUCACCUGCGUCGCGCUUGUUCCUCUCAAUCAGUGGCUUGGAGUCACCUGGGAAACUUAUAAACAACAGACUCCUGGGCUGCUCACUCAUAGAUGCUAACUGAAGAGAUCUGUGUGGGUACCCAGGGAUCUGCAUUUCUAACCAGCACCCCAGGCUACUCGGUGGCCAGCAGGCCACUGACCACGCCACGUGUACCCCCAGCCUUCCCCUUCCCGUCCUCUAAUUAUGCUACACUCUCCGAGGCCUGCCUUAAGUUUCUACCCACCUCAUCCAGGAAGCUUCCUCCCGUCACUCCAGCCCAAGAUGAUCUCUCUACUCUGUAUAAUUACUCAUCUGUCACUCAUCACUGAUGAGCAUGGGCCAUUAUCCCUCCACAUACACUUGCUUCUGUGCCCCUGGAAGCAGGGGCCAUGGCUAUACAUAUCUGUGCUCAAACACCU